UUAAAAAUUGAAGGUUUGACCAGCCGUGCCUAAAAUUCUUAUGAGAGAGGGGGGAGGGAGUUUUUCACAUCAGCGUCCGUGGCAGAGGAGGAAAAGAAGAGAUCGGAGAUCGGAGACCGGAGACAGAAAGAAAGCAGUGAAGUCUUGUGUAACAUUUUUAUGCAGCAGCAGUGACAGUGAAUAAUAUUGAAGAUGAGCAAAGGGAAGGAAGUGGUGAUGUCAACCAGCCCUAAUUACAGCAAUCACAACAGUGGCGUAGAAGAUGAUGAAGAAGAAGACGGCUUCGAUCACUCCGGAAACAACAAACGAUUCUCCGCUUUCCCAAGUUUCUCUUCCCGAAAUGCUUCCUCUAAAUAUGACUUUGUCAAGGUGAGGGUGUGGUUAGGUGAUAACGCUGAUCACUACUAUGUUUUAUCCAGAUUCUUGCUCAGCAGAAUGUUGACUGUCACUAAGAUACCGAAUCAUGUAGCUAUUAAAAUUGCUCUUGAGCUCAAGAAGCUGCUCAUUGAUAACAGCCUUCUCGACGUCUCUCAGUCUGAUUUGGAAGCUAAUCUAUUCAAGCUUAUGGAGCGGCGGGGGUAUGGAGAAGAGUACAUAAAUCGUUACAAGAUGAUGACGAGAUUUCAUCAUCAAAGAGUGCCGUUGGUGAUCCUUGUUUGUGGACCUGCCUGUGUUGGGAAGUCAACCAUAGCUACCCAACUCGCACAACGGCUGAAUUUGCCUAAUGUCUUACAGACAGAUAUGGUGUAUGAAUUGCUGCGAACGUCAACUGAUGCACCAUUGGCUUCUACUCCUGUAUGGGCACGAGAAUUCAGCUCUUCUGAGGAGUUAAUCACUGAAUUUUGUAGAGAAUGCAGAAUUGUUCGUAAAGGUUUGGCUGGUGAUUUGAAGAAAGCGAUGAAAGAUGGAAAGCCAAUAAUAAUUGAGGGGAUACAUUUGGAUCCAAGCAUUUACUUGAUGGAUGAAGAAAAUAAAUUAUCAGCUAAAAUGCCAGAAAAAUCUGAGAUGAACCCUGUUUCAGUGACUCCAGAUGACAAUCCUGCAAGACAGAUGGAAAAUAAUUCCACAAGUGUUAGUAGAAAUCGUACUGAAAAUAUCAACAGCACUUUUGGGGAUUUGGCCUCAGAAGAAGGGAAAUCUGUUAACCAGGUGAAUAAAGUUGUGGAUUCUCAGGGAUCUAGAGAUAAAGCUGGAAGCAUUGUUGACAAUAAAGGUGAAACUGCUAAAGGUCUUGAGGGAGAUAGAAAGACUUCUGUUAGCUUAAAAUCUGGUCCCGAACCAAUAAUUAUACCAAUAGUUCUGAAGAUGGCUGAAUUCGACCAUAAGGCAUUACUUGAGGAGUGGAUCUCAACUCGUUCAUUUAGUGAUAAAUGCCCUGUUGAGUUGCCUGGUAAAAAGCAUAUUGUAGUAGUAUUGAAGAGAAACAUUUAUGCUGCUUUGUUCAGGUCAAAAGAAAAAGAAAGGUUAAUUACCAAUUUGAAAAUCAUUCAGGACUACCUUUGCUCUUUCAAGUCACAGGGUCUGACUGUUGCCAAUAUAUCAGCCACAACAUUCCCUCAAAUACUGGAUUGGCUGCAUGGCUAUCUUCUUCAGAGUAUUGAGCAUGGCAUCUCAUCGGUGUCCAGUGAAAAUGAUGGACAUCAAGCUCAAAAUUAGAUUACCUGCAGAUGUUAGCUUGAGCAGGACAGGUAUGAACCGGACCUUGCAUGCAGAGCAUACUUGACUGCCAUGACACUUGAUGCAGAAUUUUGAUGAAAAACGUACCAGGCAAUGGGAAGCUACUCUCAGACAAUGAAAGAGUUUCCGCAGCUUCUUGUGAUGGCAGCACUUGCAAGUUCUUGUAAUUUGGCCGCCCCAUAUGAUGGACCAAACUUCAAACGUUGCCCACCAAAUUCGGUUAAGAUAAUUUGUUGUACCAAAGAUAGAUAUGCCAUGUUCACUGUGCUUAUUGAUGUUAUAGUUAAGAUUUCAGUACUAGCAUGUUUGUGAUUUUGAAAUGCCCUCUGUAAUUAAUUUCCUUUUCUUCUCAUUUUUUUGGGACCUAUUUUGUUAUUCAGAGAAUGAUAGAAAGUAACUUCUAAUCA